rnacentral:lncRNA from 1 species
GUGCAUUUUAACCAAAAACUGAAUAAUUCGCGUCUGAAACAGAAAUUAAAACAAAGCUAUCAAAUCAAAUUGGUAUUAUGGGUAAUAUGAGAACACAACGGGUGCCACAUGUGGAACAGGAUAUGCUUUCCCUUCCGGAACACUUGAGAUCACCCAAGUUUUUGGUGGGGUUUGUGUUGCUCAGUCCUUGUUUCCUAUGUUGUGUUCUGUGAACUAUUUUUUGUCUGUUUAUCUAUUUCUUUUUUAUCCAUGGCGAUGUCAGUUUAUUUUCGAUUUAUGAGUUUGAAUGUCCCUCUGAUAUCUGCCAUCUUUUGCCCCUCUUUUUAAGCGCAAUAUUUCCACGAUGAAUAAAUUGGGGUUCUAAUGAUGUACUGGUUGGUUGUUGUUUUUUGUUUGUUCUUUUUUUUCGGGGGGGGGGGGGGUACAUGUAUAUAUCUUAUAUGCAGUAUAGUGAUUACUAAAAAGCUGUAUGUUUAGUAAAACGGCGAAGACGAAAUCAUGUACUUUUUAAGUAAGUUACUCACGUGCAUGCGAUAACUUAACAAAGGUUAAGGCACUUUUAUUCUAAAAAUGAUCCUAGUAAGAUCAGUUUCACAUUUAACGGCGCAUAUCUAAUCUAAAAAUCCGAGCUAUUAAAUCACGCGAUAAUUCC